rnacentral:tmRNA from 1 species
GGGGCUGACGUGGAUUUGACAGCAUGGCAAAGUGGUAUGUAAGCAUGUCGAGCGUCGUGAUGCUGGCUCGUUAAUCUCGGAUCUCAACCAUUUUAAUUGGCGAAAAUAAUUACGCUCUUGCAGCUUAAUCGAAGUAUAGUAGAUAAGCAUAAUUCCGGCAUUAGAUGCCGGAACAAGACAUCUCUCGAAUGCUAAGUUUUGAGGCGGUUCGGUUCAGAGAUGCUGGUAAAUCAGAACUAGGAAAAGGUAAGCUUCGGGCUUUUUCCGAAAUUUAAGAAGAUAAGGUAAUAGUCGGUAGCUUUGAUCCAGCUGUUAUUCGAAAAUUAAGUCAAAGCUAAACAUGUAGAAAGCAUAUGGCUUCCUUGUAUGGACCAGGGUUCGAUUCCCUGCAGCUCCACUA